CAGCAAUUCCUCUCCCAGAAAUAUACCCCAGAGAAACUCUUGCAGAUGUGCAAAGGGGGCUGUGUGUAAGAAUAUUCAAACUAACAUUGUUCAAAUUAGGAAAAACCUGGUGACAAUCUAAAUGUCCAGUGGCAGAAGAAUAGAUAAAUAUGCUGUGGUCCAUUCAGACGAUUGAACAUUAUAUUGCAACGACAAUGAACAAACCACAGCUACACGCAGCAACAUAGAUGAAUCUUACAAAUGUGAUGCUAAGUCCAGGAAAGCAAGUUGCAGGAGACCAUAUAGCCUGAGAUGCUUUUUAAAAAGAAAGUUCAAAAGCAAGCAAAAUUAGAGGACUUCCCUGGUGGCGCAGUGGUUAAGAAUCCACCUUCCAAUGCAGGUGACGCACGUUCGACCCCUGUUCAGGGAACUAGAUCCCACAUGCAAGCCGCAACUAAGAGUAUGCAUGCCGAAACUAAGGAGCCAGUGAACCGCAACUAAGGAGCCCACCGGCCUCAACUAAAGAGUACACGUGCUGCAACUAAGAGCCAGCACAACCAAAAUUUAAAAAAAAAAGAAAAAAAAAAGAGAGAAACAAAAAGCAAGGAAAAUUAUCAUAAACGUGAUAAAACAAGAAAAACAAGCAAUGAACGCUAAACACAAAAUUCAGAUAGAGGCUAUUUCUGAGGUCAGAUGGGAAAGGGAGAGUGGGGAGGAGAGGAGCAAAUAUGAUGUGUUGGUGGUGGUAUUCUAGUUCUUGGUUUGAGAAGUGCAUUUACUGGUGAUGACAUGAAUGAGAGAUAAUAGGUGUUAAAGCCAAGAAUUGUGAUUCAUCUAAAUCUAUGGAUCUGUAUAUAUAGUGCUGGGGUUACAGGUGCCAAGGAUGGGGUUGAGGCAGGAAAUCAGUGCAUUCUGAGAAUUAACCGUCUGAGUCAUAGAGUCUGCAAGGGACCCCAGAGAUCCCCCAGGGCCAGCCUUCCAUCAGGUUAGGGUGGAGGGGAGCGGACAGCACUGCCUGAGAUCGGGUAAGAGGAGAGACUUUGAGAUCAAACAGCAAGGAGCCAGGCAUCCUGACUCAAAGUCUCCUCAUCUUUGCCUAAAGAGAAAACCAGUUGGCAGGGCUUCCUUUGAAGGAAGUUUGGACAUCCUUAAUGAUGGAGGCUAGGCUCUAGAGCACUGAGAUGCUGCAGGGUUGAGGACAGGGCAUUGGGAUGCCCCAUACCCACCUGCCUACAGGAAAAAGACUCGAUAGAAUAGAGACUUUUAAAUACUUUUGACUGUGACCAUAGUAAGAAACUCAUUUUUACAUCAUAACCCAAUUCACGCACACAAGUGUAUGUGAAACUGAAGCAAUUCUUACCCUUGUUAUAUAUGAUGCAUACUGAUAGUUUCAUCCUAUUUUUUGUUUUCAUUUUGUCAGUGUUAGAUGCAAACUAUUAAAUUGAUUUUAUAAGCCACUACUGGGUCAUAGCCCACAGCUGCUGUGAAGAGGUCACUAGAGCCUCUAGCGGGCCAGGCCUGCCUUUUCCAGAGCAAGCCAGGCCAGGGCCCCACUGCAUCUGACCCUGACCUUCCUUCCCUCUCUCCCUGGGCCCCCAGCUGGCCAGGCACAAGGGGCCUGAAGGCUGACAUCAAUGCAGAGACAGAACUUCCCUUUUCCCCUCUUGGCCCCUCUGGGUCCUCCCCCAGGCCCUGGGCUGUCUGGAGUGCCCAUUUCCUGCCCUGUGGAGAUCCCUGGACUCACGGAGGAAAGUGGCCGCUAUAGCAUGUGGGGUAUUAUAAAGGAUACAGAUGAACAGCCAGAUGAAGAGGUACCUAGGGCAAGAUCCCGUGUACAGGAGCAUCUGUCCCUUUGGAACUGGGGUGUGUCACUCCCAACAUGUGGACUUCUCACCAACCUGGAAGCUCUUCAGACACCAUCCUUCUGGGUUUUUAUGGAGGCUUCAGUAGGAUGGUCAGUUACCUGGUAACGUGUCAUCUGAACAGGACUCACAGCUCUGGAGCUGGCAGCUAUAGACUGGUCCAAGUCAGCAC